GUCGGCCAAUGUAUGAGGCUGCAAGUCAAGAGGUCAAGCUGCGCACUUGGUUUUUCACGUCACCCGCUUAGCCGUCUUCCAAGUUGUACUUUCCUUCUUUUCUUUCCUUUUCUUCCUGUUCUGAAGCUUUUUAAUAAGCUUUCACUCCCGCUCUGAAGUUUGCCACGAUCUCUCCUCUGCCUUAUGCCCCUCAGUUGAAUUCUUUCUUCUGAGAAGGCGAGAGUUGAAGUUGCUUGAGACCUGUAUGGAUUUGCCGCUGAGGUAAAUCAGAUCUCUGCCACCGCUAACACCUUUAUGCACAGAACUUCUGAGGAGAAAGAUGAUUCGAAGAAGAAAUGGCCCUGAAAAUCUGAUGAGUCCCCAGUAGGUGUGGCUGUUUAAAACUGCUUCAUAGGCACUGCUGACAACAAAGUUUUCUCUUCCUCUCAAGAAGUAUAACUGGUUGGCUGGCCUCUGGGAUUGGAUGAGAAUAUUCUUGGCUGAGGAAGUCCUCUAAACCUUUUCAAGUCUAUCAUUCAGAUGGAGUCUCGUGCCCAACGCACAGGGUGGAGUGCAGUGGCGUGAUCUCGGCUCAUCACAACCUCCGCCUCCCGGGUUCAAGUGAUUCUCCUACCUCAGCCUCCCGAGGAGCUGGGAUUAUAGGCGCCCGCCACCACAUGCAGCUAAUUUUUGUAUUUUUAGUAGAGACGGGGUGUCUCCAUGUUGGCCAGGUUGGUCUCGAACUCUUGACCUCAGGUGAUCCACCCGCCUCAGCCUCCCAAAGUGCUGGGAUUACAGGCGGGAGCCGCUGUGCCCGGCCUAUUUACUGGCUUUCUAUCUCUCUCACCAGAAAGACAACUGAACAUAAACUUGCCAGACACAUUCCUGUGGUGGUUCUUCUCACAUUUUCUUCUUCAGGUCCUAGUUUUUUGUAUAAUUCAAACAUAUCCUUUUUUGGUUUAAGCUGGUCUCCAACUCAUCUCAUUUGUUUCCUACAGAUUCAGCUAGACACUGCUUCUGUCAUCUAC
rnacentral:lncRNA from 1 species